CUAGUUAAAGCUAAGGUAGCGUAAAAGAUGGCGGUGUCGAUAGAUGGUUUCUCCAUCAGGGAGUAUACUGCAAAAAUGAGGAGUGUGGACGUGGUGAAAUGCUGGCCGUUCGAUGAAUCAACCAAGGAAGUUCAUGUGAGAGCUAUGUUACCUCCAAUUGCCGUGAAGAAAUUCAGCUGGUGGCUUGAUGUACUGGAAUUAUCAGAUGAUAAUGUGGAUUCUGAUGUUAUUCCAGUGACGAGAAUU